GGAUGGCCCCUGGCCUCGGGGUCAAUGUGUAGAGAUUUGGACUUACACAUGCAGUCAACAAAGGCACAUCAAGUCCCCAUUUUGUGACAGGCACUGUGCUAGGCAUUGGGGGACCCAGCAGAAAAGAAGACCACAGGGUCCCAGGCCUCAUGGAGCUCACAGCCCUGUGAUUGUGAUGCCCUCGGUCUGUUGAUGGCGGGGCUUAAAUAGCCUGAAUUUCUGGAGCUCUGGCGUCUGCAAGGUGGCCUGGGAAAGAGUUUAUGGAACAGCUACAGAGUUCUGGGUACCUUCAUGCAGUUGAGGAUUCGAGCCCGUAGAGGAGAAUCGCCUGCAGCAUGGCCCCACGGGAAAGCACAUUCCAGGCGCAUUCCGAGGAUGAGCGGAGACCAUGUAUGGAAAGCUGCCAUGGUGUGGACGGUUGGCAUGGCGAAGCUGGACCCCUCCUCUCAGGGUGCCCUCCAGCUCCCCUACGACCCAGAGAUGGGUGAAAGAAGACUCCUAUGACAGUUUUGGGGAGCCUUCAUACCCCGAAGUCUUUGAGCCUCCCUUGACUGGCUACCCAGGGG
rnacentral:sRNA from 1 species